CCCCCUGUGCUACAGCUGAUGGAUGGGCGCUGACCCUCUGCCAGCCUGGGGUCCCUGCCCGCGUGUGGGCCCCAGGGAGGAAUUUCAGGGGCGCUCAGACCUGGAAGCUGGGCACAGAGUGGGCAUGGGGAGAGCUGGGGCACGUGAGGGGGAGACUGGGCAGGGACUUGGGAGAUGGGGGCUCAGUUCCUGGCUCUGCCUUGUCCUUCCCGUGUGACCAGCUGCGUGGUGGGGGGCGUCUGGCCGUCGGGGGCUGUGGCGAUGCCGGCUGGGUGAAUACGGGUGCGUUCGGCCACAGGGGAAAAUGGCUGGUAGAGCUGGGAAGGGAACCCAGGAGUCCCUGACGCGGUUGUCGAGCUGGAGCCGGUCCUGGUGGACGGGGCAAAGCAGGGUCUGCGUUAUGCCUGGGGCAUGGAGCUAUGGUUCGCUCCUCCCUGGAGCAGGGUGCAAAUGAUGGUUCCCCCCCGCUUUGUGCCAGGCUGCGGAGACCCCAGCCCGGGCCCCCAUGGGAAACGCAGCAGUGUCCCGAGCCGGGACGUGGGGCAGGGGCCAGCUCCCGGCACUGCACGGCCCCCUCUCGCUUUGGGAGUCUUCGGUAUUCGUCGUAUUGCGGUAUCGCCUGGCGGGCCCUGGCCCCAGACGUCGGGAUCCUGCGUCCCCUAGGCCCCAGCCACGCAGGGAACGGUUCCCACGGUCCAGCCCCAAACCUCGUCUGGGGGCAGCUCGGGGCGCUGGGCUUGUGUGGGCAGUAAACCCGGCCGGGGCGACCCAGCACCGCAGCGCUGAGCCUGCACCGGGACAGGGCCUCGGCUGGGGGCGGGGUGUGUGUGUGUGUGUGUGUGUGUGUGUGUCAGUAACUCUCCCAUCGGGAGCCCACACCAGUGAUUCCAAGGGCCAGGUGAGAAGGGGCAGCUACAGGUCUGGGGCCCCCCUCUCACUGGGCCCCCCAGCUCUCCAGUGCCCCUCAAUCCUGACCCGCAGCCCCCUGCUAGCCCAGCCCUGGGCCCCCCCAGCUCUCCGGUGCCCCUCACUCCCGACCCGCAGCCCCUGCCAGCUGAGCCAAGACCGGGAGCUCUGGCUGGCCCCACGCGGUUCCUCUUCCCGGAGCAGUGGCUGUAGCUGCUGGCGGGGCCAGCACCUGUUGCUAGAGAAGAAUGGGGCGCUGGGCGGGGGGAGGGGCGGGGGGCGCGUUCCUGGUGGUAACUGGAGCUGGGGACAGGUGGAAUUUCAUUUUGCGGGGGCAGGGUCUGUGCUAGUGGGUGGGGUGCCUUGGCACCGUGCCAGGCUGGCUCUGGGCCUGCUAGGGGAGCAGCCCCCACGUCCCAGUUGCUGCUGGCACGUCCCCCCCGCCCCUCCAGCAGGCGAUGCUCCAGGGUGCCGGCGGCUGGGGUCCGGCCUGGGGCAGGAUUUCCCCCCCUCUCUUUGGGCAGGGGUUGGCGGGUGUCUCUGUGCCAGCUGCCGGUUGACUGCUGGGGUGGGGGCCUCGUGACCAGGUUGGAUUGAACGGGCGGGGGCGGCUGGCUCCCUGCCCUGGCAAUGCCAUAGGGGGUUCGUUGGGGCCGCUGCCCGGGGCCUGUUUGAGGUGAUUCAUCCCUGUCGGAUGUGACAAAUGGGCGGGUGACUCAGAGCCUGGAGGCUGCUCGGGGUGCUGUCCCCCCGCCCCCCCCCCCACCGCCGCCCCAGCCCAGCGUGAGGCUCCGGGGGCCACAGACCCCGGGACUGGAGGGGUCUCAGCUGCUGUGGUUUGCCCGGUCGGCUGGUGCCCCUCAGUCCCGACCUGCAGCCCCCUGUUCUGCCCCUGGCUGGGUGGCACCUCCCCGUGCGUGUGAGGCUGGCACAGCCGAGCGCAGGGAGGAAGCCGCAGGCUGUGACCGCACCUCAGAUUGUCGGGGCGCUUCCUGCCUUGCUGCCACCCCAUCCCGGGCGGGGGGGAGGGCUGCCAUGGCAACGGAGCCAUAAACAGCUGGGGGGGGGGUUGUGGGCUAAGUGCCUCCUUUCCCAGCCUGCACCGGGGUGUCCAGCCCCACUGCCCGCGAGCCGCCCGGGCUCUGCCCUGGCCGGGAACCGAGAGCGGCGAAGGGGAAGCUGCGGUCGCAGGCGUGACGGGAAGUGUGCGGUCAGAAGAACCUCCAGGAUUCGCAGCUGCCGUCCCAGCCGCCGGGCGCUGGCCUAGCUCGGUGCCCCCCCCGGCUACCCCCCAUGCAGGCCCGCCCUGUCACAUGGGGCUGCCUUCCUGCCGUGUGGGGCAUGUGUCACAUCCGGGGGCGACGGACCCGUCUGCCAGCCUGCGUCUGCGCUGGGGCACCCCGGGAAGCUACAGCGCCGACGCAGGCCAGGAGCCGCCGAGAGGACGCUGCUCGCCUGCCCGCCGGUGCCAGGACCUGCCUGCAGCCACAGAGGCCCCGCGGAAGGGGUGGAGAGGCUGCCCUGGCACCUGGGCCCCGGUGGGCGCUGGCCUAGCCCCGCAGAGCGCCACGUCCCGGGGAGGCAGCAAGGCCCUGUUCCCCGGGGCGGCCCCAUGGAGCUGCCCGUGGCGCUGUGACCUGCCCACAUGUGACUCUCCCAGGACUGUGCAUCCGU